AGCAUGUGGUUUAAGUUCGAAGCAACGCGAAGAACCUUACCCAGGCCUUGACAUGCAGAGAACUUUCCAGAGAUGGAUUGGUGCCUUCGGGAACUCUGACACAGGUGCUGCAUGGCUGUCGUCAGCUCGUGUCGUGAGAUGUUGGGUUAAGUCCCAUAACGAGCGCAACCCCUACCUUUAGUUGCCAUCAGGUUAAGCUGGGGACUCUAAAGGAACUGCCUACGCAAGUAGUGAGGAAGGCGGGGAUGACGUCAAAUCAGCACGGCCCUUACGUCCAGGGCUACACACGUGCUACAAUGGCCGAUACAGAGGGCAGCUACCUGGUGACAGGAUGCAAAUCUCCAAAGUCGGUCUCAGUUCGGAUCGGAGUCUGCAACCCGACUCCGUGAAGUUGGAUUCGCUAGUAAUCGCGCAUCAGCCAUGGCGCGGUGAAUACGUUCCCGGGCCUU
rnacentral:rRNA from 1 species